rnacentral:rRNA from 1 species
GAUGAACGCUAGCGACAGGCCUAACACAUGCAAGUCGAGGGGCAGCACGGUGUAGCAAUACACGGGUGGCGACCGGCGCACGGGUGAGUAACGCGUAUGCAACCUGCCUACUACAAGGGGAUAACCCGUUGAAAGACGGACUAAUACCCUAUAACACAGGGAAUCCGCAUGGAUAUAUUUGUUAAAGAUUUAUCGGUAGUAGAUGGGCAUGCGUUCCAUUAGCUUGUUGGUGAGGUAACGGCUCACCAAGGCAACGAUGGAUAGGGGAACUGAGAGGUUGAUCCCCCACACUGGAACUGAGACACGGUCCAGACUCCUACGGGAGGCAGCAGUGAGGAAUAUUGGUCAAUGGACGAGAGUCUGAACCAGCCAAGUCGCGUGAAGGAAGACGGCCCUACGGGUUGUAAACUUCUUUUGUAAGGGAUAAAUAGUCUUACGCGCUAAGACGUUGCAGGUACCUUACGAAUAAGGAUCGGCUAACUCCGUGCCAGCAGCCGCGGUAAU